GAGCGCUCGGGGAACGGCAUGCAUGUGACGCAGCUUUUAAAAAAGGAGACGGAGGCAGAGACCCCAGAGAGGGAGGGCGAAGGGGAGGGCUUGGAGGCGCAGCCGCGCGCUCGGUGUCCGUCCUCCGGGUGCCGCCGGAUGGGGAGUCUGGCUGAGCCGGAGCGGGAGCCGCGGCUGGGGGAGGCGGAGCCGGGGUGGGCAGUGUGGUGUAUCUCUCUCCACCCCGGGCCGCGCUCCGGGAGGGAAAAGGGACUGCAGACCCCCUGUCCGUGCUCCCUGCUGAGACGCCAGCCUUCUUCUGGAGGCCCCUUGUUUCGCGUCCCUACCCUAGGCUGGAUGGGUAAAGAAGCAUUCUCUUAAUUCUUGUAGCAACCCCUCAACUCACCCCUUCCCUAAAUUAACCACUCCUCCUUUGCCUGCGAAACCAGUUGGGACUAGAACUAAAAGGGUUAAUUAAGUGGGGUCCCCGCCCUCCUCCGCCUAAGGGCUUGGGAUCUGUGUUUUGCUGGGGGGAGGGGGCUGCGGAAUGACCACCAGAUUGGAUUACGGAGGGGCGAUAGGAGGCCAUCCUUCCUUCUUGCAGACUGACGCAUCAGUCAAGACACUCUCUUCCCUUCCCCCCUUUCUCCAGCCUUGGUGCCUUCACCUCCGUACCAACCGCCCAACCCCACCGCCUCCGACCCCCCUGCCUGGAAGCUGCUGUCCUUUGAGGGCUUCGGAGAUGAGAACAGGAAACAGGCCCCUCCAGUGCCCCCUAACCCAGAGAGGCAGAGGCUGUGGGCCGUGGGGGGUUGGAUGGGAGAUGAUGUGGAUGGUCAAUGUUUUUGCUGAGGGAGCAUGAAAUGAUGGAACGGUGCAGAGUCCAGGGAUUGAAAAGAAGGCCUGCCUAGGAAUGGAGACCCUCCCCACCAUGUGCUUAGGAUGGGGGAUAGGGGAGCUUGUACACUGUGGAGUCUCCCACCCCCAGGUUUCCCCAUCUCCACCCCCACCAGGAGCAGAGAGGACCUGACUGAAGCCAUCCACACUCACACAAGUAUUUCCUUGGCAGCAUCCCCUGCCUGAGUGCACCCCCUCCCUGCAUUCUCCCAGACAAAGGUCAGCACUAGAGGGAGUAGAGAGAACAUAAGGCAACAGAACACUGGCCCGAAAUUGUGGAUACCUAGGUUUGAACGCAAGAUUCGCUCCUCAAUACCUGAGUGAUUUGAGACAACUGACCACCCCACCUGGGACACUAGCUUUAUCCUCUGUAACCUAUGGCUUGAUUACACAUGUGGAAGGUAGAAGCUUAGGAAGGAAGAAAAAACUGCCUUACUUGAGCAUGCACUAAUGCCAGGCACUGCCCUAGGCCUUUUACACUUGCCGACUCAUUUACCUUUCAUGAGGACCUUUGGAAGAAGGUGCUAUUACCUCCAUUGAACAAGUAGGAAAACUGAAGUUCAGAGAUGAUAAUAAAUUUGAACUUGCCUGUAAAACACUGUUCUCCCUCUUCUUCACCUACUAGUUAAUGCUUCCUUAACACCUUAGUUCUAGCUUCACCUUCUCUGGGAAGAUUACCCUUCCCACUCCCACUGACACUAUAGCCCAGUUACCGGUAAGGAAAUACCAUCUCAGUACUGUUGAAUGGGUGGUUAAAAUAAGUGAUUGGGGCUCCUACAGGAACUCCAUUUAGGCAAGUUAGUUAACUUUGCCAAGGUAACAGAGCUAACAAGCACUUGACCCAUUGCUCCACUCCUUGCCUUACUUCUAGUGUGGAUCAGACCUGGGGAGGGAGAAGAGAACAUCUUUGGAGCAUCUCUGGGAAUUGUGGUAUAGGCAAAAAUGGGAAGAGAGGUCACAGACACCUGGCAGACAGAAGGGAUGUGGUAGGAAGGGGGUGGAGUCUAUGUGGAGGGGGGGUCUUUAACUUAAUGACAAUGUCCUGGAGGACUGGAGGCUUAGCUGAUUUGUAUGGAUGGGUGUAAGUGCCCAGUAUUCUCUCUCUCUCCCUCUGUAUGUGUGUGGUAAAAUUCACAUAACAUAAAAUUAACCUUUUUU
rnacentral:lncRNA from 1 species